UACCGGGUAGUGUAAAGGCAACACAUAGGAUUCUGGCUCCUAUAAAUGCGGGUUCGAAUCCUGCCCUGGUAACAA
rnacentral:tRNA from 1 species